UGAAAUUAUUUAGUCUUAAAUAUUCAUUUAGAUUGAAUAAUAAGUGCGUUAGUGAUUC
rnacentral:tRNA from 1 species